AUUGAUAUUUGAUAAGCAAUUAAAACAGUCUUUUAAAAUGAGACUCAAAUUUCAAUAUCAUAUUGGUUUCAAAUGCUAAAAGAAUUUAAGACUUACUUGCAUUUAGCUAAAUAACUCUCUGUAUUAUCUGUAUCCUUUGGGGAUUAAACAUGAAUUAGAAUUACUCAUGGAUUUCCAUCAAAAUCCAUUAAGGGAAAUAUAGCCCAGAGAGAUUCUCUUACAUCUGACAUUGCUUAAUGUGCUCACAGUAUUAAAUGGAUACUCUACAACUAAGGAUUAAUUCAUUAUAUAGAAGUCACAUAUGUGAAUCUGUCUCUUUUUAAUAUUAUUUUCAUGCUUAAAAUCUGUCAUAAUAAAAUUAAAUAGAAUCUAUAUACCUGUUGAUUCUUUUUUAAUUGGAAUUACAAGGUAAUUCUUUAAAGCGACUUUUUGUUAAUGAACAUUUUUUAUCUCUAAAAAUUUAGGCUAAGAAGUUACAGUUACUUCUCUUUAUCCUUCACAUGUUAAGUCUUCUUACAUUAUCAAAGAGGCAGUAACUACACAGCAUGAAUCUGGUGCCAUAGCUAUAAUUGGCAAAGUGUCAAAAUUAUCUUGGAGAACUUGUUAAAAAUACAGAUUUUUAGGUCAUAUCUCUUUUUCUUAUCAGUUAUAAUUCACUGUAUGUUGGGAAGGAUCCAGAAGUAUGAUUUUCACUCCCAUGAUCUGCCUACAGUGGAAGCUCAGGGCACCAAGGCACCUUAGGGAAAAUGGCAGAUGUUUCAAGGAGUCCCUAACCUGCACCAAGGGCUCACACUAUUUUUCUAUUUUUUUCUAAUUGCUGAGGUCACGAGAAAUACUCACUUUUGCUGAUUCUGGAACCUAACAUCUUUCCGGCCGUGGAAAAAGAAAAAUACCUGAGAAGUUUGUGAUAUGACAAAGCCCAGAGCAUUCAACUAACUGGAGGGCAUCUCCUCACCCCGAUUAGGUUGCUAUUGUUCUCUGAAGCAGCUGACAUUUCUAAAAGAGUUUUUGUUGGAUUAAUUAUCUUCAUACAUUGAGACCUUAUUGUUCAGUUCUGAGGGCUUUUGUUCAAAAGCUUAAACGUAAAUAAAUAAUGUGUCUCCAAUUACUGCACUAGAAUUGAAGAAAUAUCCUGAGGGAAUAGUAAAGUAAAUUUAUUCCUGAUUGCUCUCCCUCUCUACCCCCACCCCCUCUUUUUAAGUUAAUCAAAACUGCCAUGAAUAUUAUUUCCUAUUUUGGAAUAAAUUAUUUUUCUAAAGCAAAAUUUGAGAACCAACAUUGCAGUCAUCCUCAUGUGGCAUUUUCACUCUCUUUUCAAAAUAAAUAAUGCCUGUACUUUAUUGCAGUAUUUUAAAGUUUAGUAAAGAGCAUAAAGAUUAUUAGGUAAAAUUCCUUUUAAUAGCCAUAUUUUGAGAUUUGUUUUCUA
rnacentral:lncRNA from 10 species